CAAAGGCUUGGUCCUGACCUUAUUAUCAGCUCUGUCCAAACUUACACAUGCAAGUCUCCGCCCUCCCGUGAGUAUGCCCUCAGUCCCCCCAAACAGGGAACGAGGUGCUGGUAUCAGGCACACCUCCGUAGCCCACGACACCUCGCCAAGCCACACCCCCAAGGGUACUCAGCAGUGAUAAAUUUUAAGCCAUAAGUGAAAGCUUGACUUAGUCAAAGACAAGAGGGCCGGUAAAGCUCGUGCCAGCCACCGCGGUUAUACGGGCGGCCCAAGUUGAUAAUCCACGGCACAAAGCGUGGUUAGGGACAAAAUAAAACUAAAGUCAAAAGCUUGCAAGGCUGUCUAAAGCAUUUGGAAGAAUGAAGCCCACAUACGAAAGUUACUUUAAUACUCCUGAACCCACGAAAGCUAAGGCACAAACUGGGAUUAGAUACCCCACUAUGCUUAGCCCUAAACAUCGAUUUACAUCCGCCCGGGAACUACGAACAUUAGUUUAAAACCCAAAGGACUUGGCGGUGCUUAACAUCCACCUAGAGGAGCCUGUCCUAGAACCGAUAAUCCCCGUUCAACCUCACCCUCUCUUGCUCCUUCCCGCCUGUAUACCUCCGUCGUCAGCCUACCCUGUGAAGGAACCACAGUAGGCGCAAUCGGCACUGCCCAAAACGUCAGGUCGAGGUGCAGCUCAUGAGAGGGGAUGAGAUGGGCUACAUUCGCUACACCUAGCGAACACGGAAGGCGUCCUGAAAUAAACGCCCGAAGGCGGAUUUAGAAGUAAGAAGGAAAUAGAGUGUCCUCCUGAAACUGGCUCUUAAGCGCGUACACACCGCCCGUCACCCUCCCCAAGCAGCCCUUAUCAAUCUUUAAAUAAAAAUAUACAAUUGUAAAGGGGAGGCAAGUCGUAACAUGGUAAGUGUACUGGAAAGUGUACUUGGACAAAU
rnacentral:ncRNA from 1 species